CUACUUCCGCAAUUUGUUCACAUCUACGAAUGUUCAUAAUGUGAGGUCCGUUCGUAUCUGUGAAACUUCACAACUUGAAUGUUCGUUAAGUCGGGGACUUAUUGUAUGUACUCGUUUCUAAUGAUGCUUCUCUAUGGGAAUAGUGUUACAAUGGACUGUCCACUUCUAUUUUCAGACUUUGAAAAUUAGCCACUUUAGUUGGGAUUUCUCCAGGUGUGGAAGUGCUGAAGAAUAUAGGUCUACAGAUACAGAUCACGUGAGAGUCACUCCAUGCUCUAGCAGCUGAAGAAGGAACACGGACUUGAAACAAGGAGACCUCUUUUUCCAUGGCUUGUCCUGAAUAAAAGAAGACAUCAUGGAGGAUUAUUUAAAAUUGUGACUGAGGAAGGAACCCACCCUUGAAUCAAGGAGAUGUCUGUUCUGUGGCUUGGACUGAGUAAAAUGAGAAUGACAGGAUUUAUGAAAGUGGUGACUUAUUAUUUCUAUGAGAAUAAGUUAUUGCAGUGAUACUGGUUUCCUUAUUUUUAAGUAUGGCAGAAAAUGUGGGGCAUUAUAUAUUUCUAAUUAUGUAUAAUGUGUAACCCUCUAGUGAGCUUGACUGGAUGUCAUGGCUUUGAAUUUUAGAUCCACCUGGUGUUGUCUCUACUGGCUGGAAUUAUGGUCCUAAGUGAUGUCAGCAUAGCAAUAGAAACAUCCCAUCCCUCAAAUUUUUGUCUGAGAUUAUAACUUGGGAAAAAGUUGAAAAAGGGUUACAAGAAAGCAUAGACUCAUUUUUCUGAUAUCCUUUCUUUAUGGGGAAAAACAUGAAUGGUUUACCCUAGGCUUUGGUGUCAUUAUUACUGUUCUCUCCCCAAGGCCUAAUAUAAUAAUUGGCAUUUAGGAAGUAUUUGAUAGACAGUGAAUCACUUGUUAUAUUGGUAUAUUGUCACAGUUAUUGGUCGAGUCAAUGCAUGAAUGAACAAAAAGUAAAAGAAAUGGACCUUAACGUAGAGGUGAAAUUUGGAUCCCACCUUAACCCUCAAUUUUCUCCUUCUCUGUAAAGAUUUGAGUCAAGAAACAAGGGCAUUUUAUUGGGCUAUUUUUCUGAGAGCAGAUAAUUGGGUGAUUCUGUUAGAUUCAGUUAGAGUGAUACACAAGUGGCAAUUUGAGAUUGGGGCUUUGGUAGAAAAGGAAGGUUGUCUAUUGUUUUAUUGGAUGCUGCCACCUGUUUCAGUCAAGCUCACUGGAGACUAAAUCUUACAUGUUAAAAAACCAAAGAAGCAUUUGUUCAUUGGAACCGAUCUCUUGUGCAAAUCUCUUAGAAAUCAAGAGGUCAUUAUUACUGAGAAGUAACUGUUUGCUUGUCAGUAGGUACCAGAGUCCUUGGCAAUGUAAUAUAUAUAAAAAUGCACCUGUCAUAGUAUUGAGUUAGCAAAAUAUUGGUAUUCUCUUGGUUUUUGUAGUGUACAUAAACAUCUUCUCCAACUCAGUGUAAAACAGAAAACCUUGGAUAACUAUUGUUUAAAUGACAAAAACAUCUCGAUAACUCCAAGAAACUCCAAGAAAACAGUGCUGGCACGUGAACCUGUGAAGUAUCUCAAAGUCAUUCAUAAACAUCAUUUGAAAUCAUACGUGUCUAUAUUGACUCAGUUUUCCGAGCUGUAAAAGGGUGUUGUCACCUAUGUAGGACAUGAGGAAGUGUCUGACAUUUGUGGACUCGAAUGGAGCCUAAGAAAUACGGACGAGGAUUUCAUCCCGAAGCUUACUUAGGGAGUUGACUGUGUGGCGAACAGCGUUAGACGGCUGUGCUGAAGCUACCUUUCUAGGUGAGAGUUUUGUCACCUUUGAACUGUACUAAAACUUCAAGCCAGACCCUUCUAUCUUCAGAUUCUCUGAUUCCUCUGCCUGCCAGAGCAGUCUUGGGGAAAGAUGACAAACCACAUCAUUUUGAAGGUGACAUGUAUCAAUUAGAAAUAAGCAAUAAUCAGAGACAAGACCAAAGAGUAUAUAAACUGAUGUUAUGUAGAUCAUCUUUUUCCUUCCCUCUUCUCUAGUCCAUAAGAAUCUCUAAUCUCUAGAAGUUCCUCCGGCAAGAAGUAAUGCAAUUACCACCUGGCAUGGUGGGCAUGGUGCAGGCAGACUUUACACCUCUUAUCUACCAACACAGAUGAGCAGGAGAGCACAGCUCGAGCGACUGCCCCUGAUUGAUCAAAUGGUAGCUUACAGAUUCUCCUGGAGUGUCCUGGACAUGUUUACUCCUGCGAUGCUGCGCAAGUCUAUCCCUCACGCCGAUCCAAGGGGCCCGGGUCUGGUCCCUCCUCAGCUCCUGUCUAGACAUCUUAUGUGUCACGCCGGCCCAGCAGCCUCAGCACAGCAUUCUUCCAGAAUCUUCCAAAAUGCAAGUGUGAAUGGUGUCUACUGAACUGAAAAUUAGAUAACUUGCAGGGUUGGGCUGUUCCCGACCAUGUCAGGUAGACCCAAGGCAACCCUGCAGGAGUAUGUGGACAGAACAGGGAGGGCAGCAGGUCUGGACUUGAGCUAAAAGCUUCACCGGCUGCAAAAUCAAGGGCCAAAUAAAUGUCCCGAACUUCCUUGCCUUUCAAAUAUUUACAUUUCAUUGGACACCUUAGGAUUUGGAAAAAACCAGUUUUUCUUGCUAUGGAUUAUCAACUCACCUUGGAAGGAUUUGCCAGUACAAGCCCUGCGUAUGUGACACUUGUGUGCAUAUGUGAUACUCAGAGGUCUUAAGUUUUUCUCCUCCCUGCUGGCAUUUUAAAAAGAGCUCAAAAUCUAAUCCUGGUAUUUUACUGGUUACGUGGAACUGACAAUUUAUUUAAAUACUUAGGAAACUUGUGUUUAAAUAAUGGUACUAAAAUGAAAAUAUAAAAUACUUGGUGAAUGAUAAAUAUGUAUGAACUGUUCAUGGAUGUUAGGAAAUGAGAAUGAAAGUCAACAUGUAAUCGUUUUAUUAUUGUUAUCUUGUUUACUUAAACUUUCUUGGAAUAUAAUACUCAAGCACAGAGGCCUACGUUUAUAAACAUUUCUAUAUUUAUAUUUUAUAUACUUUUUUAGUUGUUCUGAUAAAUGAGCUGGUUUCCUACGGACGUUUCUAAACAUGUUUUAUUAAAUUGUCUUCUGGAAAAUAUUUUAGAAAGGAAUUCUGAGGACAUUUUGUACAGCUACACAAUUCUGCAUUGUCUGUGCUCAUGGAUAGAAGAAAAGAAAUGGACAUGAAGAGUGCUUAAUACGUUAAUCAGGAAAAAAAAGUCAGGUUCUAGUUAUUUAUGUGCAUUUUGAGAAAAAUGUGUAUAAAAUAAUGAAAUACUGCUUUGCGACAUUUCCUAAUGUAUUGUGAUUGUUAACAGAGUUUGGGAAAAUAUGUAGAACUAUUUUAAUACAUGAUUAUAUUAGAAUUGUCAGAAUACCUCAGAAUGGUGUACGUGUAAAAGCUUUUUUUGGCAUUGCUGUGGGCUUUUUUGGGAAGGGGAUUGCUCUGUGUAUUGUUGUCAUAGAGUUUUUAUUAGGGUUCCUCUGUGUGGGUGUAAUUGUGUAAAUGGUCUUUAUAUUAAAAUGUGUAUGAUAUGACGGAAUUGUCACGCAAAAGGCCAGCCUCCACGACACUUGCCUGUUCAUGGUUAAGUGGGCUUUGUAUUGCUGCUGAUAUAAAAGAAAAAAUACUGUGUUAUGCCAUCUUAUCAACCAUAGAGAUGGCUGAUGCUUGGGGCAUUUAAAUGUUAGAGUAGUUUUGUUGGUUGCUGAGGAGUUGCUAAUUGCUUUGCCUGUAAUAAGCAAAUAAAAGCUGAAUUUAGGAGAUGGAAUAGAGCGUUUGGGCAUUUGGGAGGGCUUGGGUGUGUGCACGUGUGCAGAGUCUUGUCCUCCCUGCGCAGAUGCUGGGGAUCAGCAUAUAUUUUCUAAAUAUUCUGAUGUUAAAUAGAUGUAGAAUUUUUUCCCUUCACUGGUAGAAUUGUUCAGUUGUGUUGCAACAUGAAUUUAUUUCUGGUACAUAUUGCUAUAUAUUUUCUUAUGAACAGUGUUAUUAAUGUUAAAUAUUUUUGUUUAAUAUGCAAUUUUCUACAUGUAUAGACAACAUUGUAAAUUCAUUAUAAAUAUGUGUCAACUUACUAGGUUAGAAGCACUUUGGUUUAUCAACAGAUAUUAUAUUAGUUCUAGCCUCUCAGUGUGUUUAUUGGAUCCUUAGGCUCAAUUUUUACAUUGUGGUAAAGAUAGUGUGUAGUAUUUGUAUAAUAUGUCAUUGUUUUAUGGCAAGAUUCAUUAUGGUGGAAAUGUCAUUGGAACGGUUGGUCUGCCUUUGUUUAUGGUUUUCAGAUCUAUUUGCAUACAGAUAGAACACAGUUGUAUAACUUGGAAAUCUCUGGUAAAAUAAAUAGCACAGUUUUGGAAAGUUUUCACUUGCCAAUGGAAUUUGAGUUUUGAACAUAAUAGUGAAUUGUUCUUGUUUUAAAAUACUUAUUUCUAGUUGUAUAGGUAAUUUAUAAGUUUUUAUGGGGGAUGUUAGCAAUGAUAUAUCAAACCCAAGUUCAUUAAAUCAUGGACUGACAAAGGAAUGUUUGUGUAUUAUGUGUAUAUAAUAGACACAGUUAUGUUUUUUAAAGCAUAGGAACUAGUAUACUUGCAUGUUUUAUACGUCUAUUAAUUAUACAUAGAGUAAAAACUUUCCCUAAGGGUUGUCAUUUUAUCUCUGUAAGUAAAUAAUUGGGCAGCUGAAGGGAUGUGUUUUUAGAUGGUUGUAAUAAAAUUCUUAGGGUAUAUAUAAGUUUUACUUUAAAGUUUUAGUCCUUGAAAUGUAAGGAUUGCUUGGGUAUCCAUAGGUGUAUACAUAUAUGUUGUGUAUCUAUGCAUGUACAUAUGUGUACACGUGUGUAUAAAACUUUAUAUUAAAAGUCAUAGCUUAGAAAUGUCAUGUUUUAGCCACAUGAUUGUACCUCAGCUUUAGUCUAUGUUCUUUGACUUGUUUGAGGGUGGAUGGGAUAGGACAUUUUGGUUUAUGAACUUUAUUACUUAUUUCAUAACAUCUGCAUAGGAGUUGCUGAUACGUGUAUAUUGUGUGACCACCAAACUGAUACACAAAGGUGAAAACACUAUUUUGGCAAAUUGAAUUGCUAUACUUUGUCUAUUUGGGAUGUAUUGGGUUACUGGGUUUUGCAUUAUUAUUUUCUUUGGUUUAUAGAAGAUAAAUAUCAUUUUAUAAAACACUUCUGGAUAUAUGAUUUCUGUCAAUAAUUGAGAAAUAAAUUUAGAAAUACUGAAAUGUUAAAAGAUAGAAUCAUGGUUUGAUCAUAGGUACAGAGCGAGUGUCUUCAUGUGAGUUCAACUUGAUUUUAAUGGUUUUUGUUUCUUGUGUUCUUGACGUUUUGUAAUUAGACCUUUGUUCAAGUGUAGAAAUCAUUGCCAUUUAUAUUGUAAGUAAUGUAAACAUGUACAGUUUUUCUUAUCCCAUUUAAUUUUAGGAUGUUCAACGUUGGGUAGGAGGGAAGUAUUUGACUGCUGUAUGUAUAAUAGACAAGCUUUUUGUAUAACAUCUUAACUUCCUAGGUGUAUAGAAAUGUUCUCUUUGCGUGUAAUUGCACGCAUGCGUGCACACUCACACACACUCACACACAGAGUAAAUAUAAAUGUUGAACUAUGGUUAAAAAAAUACCAAUAGAAGUGUUACCUGACCGUUAUGUGUUCUAUUUCACUUAGUGUGUAUAGGGGCGAUUAGAUAGUUGUGUAUAUUUGAUCAGGUUUUUGUUUUUAUACCAUAUAAUGUUGCUGAUGUACAGAACUUUCUGUCACAUUUUUAAAUAUAUAUCAUCUAAAAUUAUAGCAUGUGAACUUUUAUGUUUCUUUGCUUAUAGAAAGGGUGAACCACCUGCUGUUGAGCAUUGAGUGUGAUCUUUCCGACUGCUGGGUGUUCAUCUUUAAAACCCGCUCUUUCUAUAUAUGUAGCAUUGCUGAUAUACUUUCAAUUAUCAGAAACUUUGUGAAUACAAUUCCAUUUUUUCACUGUAUGUUUAGUGAUUUGUUUUAAGGGAUUUGGACGGGGUAGUGGAUGUUUUCUGAUUUCAUCUCUAAUGCGUGAUUCUUUUGCUUUAUAUCUAUUCUUUUUGGUUUAUUCUGAUUGUGGACAUGCACAUGUUGCAAUUAAGGUGUAUUUAACUUUUGCAAAUUAUUUUAAGAACUCUAUAGGUGGCUCUUUGGAGUUUAACAGACGUAUUUAAUGAUUGCUUUAGAACAACUUGGCUUUGUAAAUACAUAGAAUGUUGAUAAAACAGGAUGAUGGAGGGUAGAAAGUUUUCUUUUGACAUUGUUCUCCCUUGUGUAGUAUUUAUUGGAUUGCUGGGAUUAUUAGAGACAAGUUAUUUGAAAAUUGGGUUAAAAGCCUCUGAGCUAUAUUUUUGUUACUUGUAUAUAUGUUGUCAGGGCGGAAAUAGAAAUGGUUAGAAGUAUUUUUUUUAGAAGUAUUUUUGCCUUACAUUCUUUUUAGAAGAAAAAUUAGAUUGUAAUUGUCAAGUUGAUUGUAACCAUUUUAUAUAAAAAUACCUCAGUUUAAGGGAUACAUACAUCUGUCUUAUUAUCCCAGUUGUACUGGGGUUCAUGAUGCAGUUCUCUUUUCUAAAGAACAUGUAUAGACUCUCUAAGCUAAGUGGUUCUGUGUCCAUUUGUUACAUGGCAAUAACCAAGACAACUUUGUAAAUAAUGGGCACUGGAAUAUUUCAUUUUAAGCAUCUGGAAUUUCUAGGUAUAUGGAGAGUCUCACAUAAUUUUGUAAAUAUGCCAUUGUAAAUUUGUUAGUAUCAUUGUCUUUCAAAAAUAACAUGGCAAUGCAAUAGUUGAUUAACAGGCUCUUGGAGCUAUGCAAAAUUUAUGUAUUAAUUUGGUUGGUAAGAGGAGAAUUGGACAAGAUUAUGAAUUUACCCCAUUCUCAUAGAACAGUUUGCCAUCGUAUCAAGUCUGACGUAUAUAUUAAAAAACUUAUACCAUGUAAAUUCAUUUGGCGUUUUUUUGAUGUACCAACUUUUCUGAUAUAUUUCUUUUAUAUUAUUAUUUUUUAUUAAGACGUUUUUUACAGCAGUUUUAAGUUCACAGUAAAAUUGAGGGAAGGUACAGAGAUUUCCCAUGUCUCCUGCCCCCAGUGUCAAGCCAUCACAUGGGUAUUCACACCCAUUGUCACCAUCUCCCACCAGGUGACAUGUUUGUUAUAACUGAUGACGUAUAUUGACAUGUCACAGUCACCCAGAGUUUACAUUAAGGUUCAUUCUUGGUGUUGUAUGGUCUAACAGUUUGGAUAAAUGUAUAACGACAUAUCCAUCAUUGUAUUCUACAGAGAAUUUUCAUUGCCCUAAAAGUCCUCUGUGCUCUGCCUAUUCAUCCUUCCCCCCUUCCAUAUUUUUUUGAACAUUCACAAUAUAAAUGAUUUUGUUUAAGAGAUUUUAUACUACCUCUUGGAACUAUACACAGUUCUGUAUGUGUUCCCUUGGUUGCAUGACAAUAUUCAAGACAACUUUGUAAAUACUAGGCAGAUACAAGUUUUAAUUUUCAACAUCUAGUCUUCCUAGAUGUAUAGAGUCUCACAAAGUAUAAUUUUGUAAAUAAUUCAUUGUAAAAUUGAAUGGUUUUAUUUUCUUCAAGUGUCUUAACAAAAUUGAUAGGAUGGUGGGUUUCUUGAGCUGUUUAUUGAUUUUUUUAUCUGUUUAUGGAAUUGCUAGGGGAAGGAAAGUUAAAAGGGAAGGUGCCUUCACUUUUGCUUUCUCAAAGAAAAUUGUACAUUUAAGCCAUCGUUUAGUGCUUAUAUGAGACAUAAAAAAGCUGUUGUAAUUUUAUAGUUGUAUUGAUAGGACAUUAUAUGUUUUAAUCAUAGGAAAAGUAUUUUAUGACUUUAUUCGCCCUCUUUGAACGACAGUUUUGUAUUUCAUAGGACUGCGGGACAGCAUUCAAGACAGCUUUGUAAAUAACACGUACAUGCAUCGUUUUUAAACAUCUAGUUGUUCUAGAUGCAUGGAGUUCGGCAAAAUAUAAAGGUGUAAAUAUGUCAUUGCAGACUAUCAUAAGUUGGCUUCUGUAAUGUUUUGGCAGGGUCAUAGGUAAUUAAUAGUAUGUGGCCUCUAGAGUUAUAUAACAUGAUUUUCAGUGGAUUUUGGGGGAGAGGCUUAGACAGAUUGUCUCCAUAUCUUCAUAUUGGUAAGUUCUCAUGUAAAAGGAAAGAUUACAUUGCAUAUUUUUAACAAAGAGAAAAUACCCAUGGGUGUAUUUUUAUAUUUAGGAAGAAAAAGGAAGACAUAAGAAGGGAAUCACUGUUUUAAAUCAUAUUCAGAGUUAUAUUCAGAGAGAUACUCAGAGUUAGAAGAGAUUCACAUUGCUAAAGUAAUUAAUUUGCUAUGCUAUACUCAUAUACUCUGCAAAUUUAUGUAUGUAUAUGCAUAUCCUUGUAUAUUAUAAACGUAUAUACACAUACACGUAAAAUUAGUUUUUGGAGUAUAGAUCUGAUGAUCUCUUAUUUAUUAGCUUAUUGCUUUACAUUUUAAUUUUUUUAAUUAUGAAAAUUGUAUUAAUUCUUAGCUUAAACAUUUCCAGAAGCCUGCUUCAUGAUAUAUAUAUAUAUGUAUAUGUAUGUAUGUUAAUUGUUAUAUAAGAUAAUUAAACUGCUCCAUAUCUGUGUUUCAAUCUGUUUUUUCAUGUAUAUGCAUCUGUAUGAGAAGAUAUCCCUUUUUUUUUACUUAAAAUUUAUUGGGGUGACAGUGGUUAGUAAAAUUACAUAGGUUUCAGGUGUACCAUUCUGUAAUACAUCAUCUAUAUAUCACAUAUUGUCUCGCAGCUUUUUAAAAUUUUCUGGUUAAUAGUUAUAUUUGUAUGUUAGGUGAUGAAACAAAUGUCAAAAGUAUUGUAUUUUCAGUUGCAUGUUUUUUAGAAAGGACCUGUCCGGUAUCAAUGAAAGUAUAAAUCAGCAUAGCUUUUUGAAGAACAGUUUGGCAAUGACAUUCAACAUGAGUAUGUAAAAGUUUUGAAAUGAUGUAAGUAGUUGCUAGGAUUUUCUCUGUUCUAACUCUCAAAUUUAUGAAGAAGAAAGUAUGGUACAGAGUAUAACAAAUUGAACCAUGGAAAUAAUGCACCAGUAAAAGAAAGAUUGUAACGAUUAUAGCUUAUUCAUAUGAAUGUAAUUCAAACACUGAAAAAAUAAUCUUAUAUGGAAGUUUGUUUUAAGUCAAUAUUUAAAAUGUCAUUUUUGAAACAAGCAUCAACUCAUUGUGUUUUCAGAGGUGAGACAGUUUGCCUCUAGCUUUUCUAACAGAAAUGUUCAUUGUUUCUAUUGGGGAAUGUGAUUAUUCUGACAUGAAUGGAGUUAGUAAUGCUUGUUCACCCCUGUUAUUAUAAUGGUAAUUAUAAUCCUGAUUGUUAUAGCAUUUUUUGUGAAAUUGUACACGUUCAAGUUACAUAUUAAAGCAUUGUUUGUCUAUAUAUUUGUAUAUUGCUCCAUGACAAUCUAAAACGAACAUAUGAAUUAUUGAAAAGAAUGUUGUCUAGAAGACUUUAUGGCAAAAUUUUAACUUUGCUGUCUCGAGAGAUGGGAUUAGAAGGACUGCUUCUACUUUUCACAUUUGAAAUUUUAAAGGACUUCAAAAGGAACAUUUCAACAACAGGGAAUUUUAAAGCUACAGCCAGUUUGUGCCUGUCUUUAUCCUUGCCUUCCAACAUCUUGGGAAUAUCGGGCUGUUGUAUCCAGCUGUGUAUUCUCGGUGGCCAUAUGAACAGCUGAUGAUGAUCACAUGACUUACAGACCAGUGUUCCCAGUGAAACACAGUGUCGGAUUACCCAGGGAAAGAAGAGUGGGAAGGAGGAGGUGAAUAUGAUGAAAGAAACACAUAUUUGCAGAUAACCUGAGGACAGCUAACAUCAAGAACAUCCCUCUUUCUAUGGAGUGUUUAAUUCAUGCGUCGUAACUCUAAACCACAGGAGGUGAGCGUUCCAGGAAGCCACACCUUUGCCAUCUUGCUUUUUAAUGCCAAGAUUUGGUGCCUACAGACCUGUCGAGCACUCCUCAAUCCAGUGCCCUUCAUGCCCAUCACUGGUCCCAGGACCACCCCUGGAGAGCUGAUUGUGAUGAAUGAAGAGGAAUCUGAUGUCAUGGCUUCUGCCUUCUUCACCGAAACCGGAAGAUGGUCUUCAUAAAAUAUGGAUACUCGUCUUGUGUGUGCCAGUGGACACUCCUUGCAGAUCAGAAAAACUGGACUGAGAAAGCUCAUGUUUGAACAUGACCUAAAGGGUGUCACUGGAGAGAACCGGACCAGGCAUGUUGACUGUUGGCCUGGGUCUCAAGAGUGGGAAUGGCGGAGACGUUAUUACAGAGAUGCUUAGGAGGUGUAAUUGGGAGGUCUCGUUCCAGCACUCCCAUGAGUAAAAGUGCUUGUAUUUAUAAUUUUCACUUAUCACAGGAACAUUCCCUGUCUAUAUUCGCACUUUUUUCUCUCAAAUGAUGCUUAAAAUUAUUUUGCAACUUGGAAAAAAAAUGCAAUUUUGAUUUCAUUUACACCAAAUUUAAUAGAUUUAUUAGGAGAGAAUAAAUCCCUUUAAAAUUGAGUCUUCCUAUCCAACUGCAAGGGUUUUAUAUUUGGUUUACUGGCUCUACCGAAACUCUUUAAGUUUUAACUUGAGUUUAAGAAGUGAGACCUUCAGGUGCUUCAUUACCUGACAUUUCUAUAUCAAUCCAAAUUCUUAUUCUUGUUCAUCAUUUCUGUGGACUUUAUAUCUUCAAAAAUGCUGCAUCUCCGAUAAGGACCAAAGAGAUUUUGACUGCAGGUGGUCAACAUGUGGACAACAGGACCAUACAUACCUUCUGCAGUGGUUCCACCCACAGCAUCACCCACAUGCUGUCAUUAUCCCCCCCUUUGGGAAGCUUCUUGAGUCUAUCUAAAAGGGCACAACUUUUAGAUACGUAUCCUCAGGAAUAGAAGUGACCUGCUUUGUGGCAAGGGAAAUGGACUAAGAUACCGCAGAAGGCUCUGGAGCAUUGAGGACACUGAAGGAGGAUGAUAACCACAGGAGAAAGCAGUGACCACUCAGUUAAAGGCUAGAACAAGUUACCAUACUUCAGGAAAGAGAGAAGGCUGGAGCGAGGUCCUCCGCUUCAGAGAAAACGUGGCUCACCGGAUAAGACCCUCAUGGUGUGCCCCUGUUGUGUUCAGAUUAAUACUUCAUUGGACAAGAAAAGACCUUCCUCUUCUUUAACUACUGGAGAUGUAUGGGUGUCCUGGGAAAAGUGUGGUCCUUGGUGUACACCAUGCCUGUGGAUCACUCACUAAUGUGGAGUGGCCAUACACGGCUCACCAUUGGACACAGAGAGGUGACGUUCCCCUUUCCUUUGAGGGUUGAGGUGCCCGGAAGUCCAAGAGACAUUUGGCCUCGGGUGUGCACCGUGCCCGUGGAUGACUCA